GGUAAAGGAUCAUGAGCAGGAUCUGUCCACGAAUGCUUGAGUAUGAAUCAUCCAAUCCCAUCAAGAACUGCAUGACUUGCUCCUCGGAUUGAUACUCAAUUUGCUGAGGUCUGAAGUUCCCUGGCUCUUCCCAAAGCCCCUUCAACCUUGUGAAAUAUGAGAUCACAGAACCAUUAUUCUGAGAAAUGGACGAUAUGGUUUUCUGUAGCUGAUAGAUCCUGGGACCAUUACUUUGGCUAAACCUUUCCUUUAGAUCAAUCCAGAUUUGUCUAGCAGAUUCCAUGUAGAUCACACUAAUGCUCAUUCCUUUGGAAUGGAUUUCAAGAUCCAAGUGGAAACUAGCAUAUUGCAUCGCCUC
rnacentral:lncRNA from 1 species